rnacentral:rRNA from 1 species
UCGAGAAUCAUUUGCAAUGGGCGAAAGCCUGACAAUGCGACGCCGUGUGAGCGAAGAAGGCCUUAGGGUCGUAAAGCUCUUUCGCCUGGGAACAAGAGAGUAUAGUUAAUAACUAUAUGAUUUGAGCGUACCAGGUAAAGAAGCACCGGCUAACUCCGUGCCAGCAGCUGCGGUAAUACGGAGGGUGCAAGCAUUAAUCGGAUUUAUUGGGCGUAAAGGGCGCGUAGGCGGGAAUAUAAGUCAGAUGUGAAAUUCCGGGGCUCAACCUCGGAACUGCAUUUGAAACUGUAUUUCUAGAGUUUAGGAGGAGAAAACGGAAUUCCACAAGUAGCGGUGAAAUGCGUAGAUAUGUGGAAGAACACCGGUGGCGAAGGCGGUUUUCUAUCUUAAGACUGACGCUGAGGCGCGAAAGCAAGGGGAUCAAACAGG